rnacentral:rRNA from 10 species
ACUGCGGAGGAUCAUUA